rnacentral:rRNA from 1 species
GAUGAACGCUGGCGGCGUGCCUAAUACAUGCAAGUCGAGCGAACGGACGGGAAGCUUGCUUCUCAGAUGUUAGCGGCGGACGGGUGAGUAACACGUGGAAAACCUACCUAAAAGCCGGGGAUAACUUCGGGAAACCGGAGCUAAUACGGGAGGACAUUUUGAACCGUAUGGUUCAGAAGAGAAAGACGGUCGUGGUGUGACUUAGAGAUGGAUCCGCGCUGCAUUAGCUAGUUGGUAAGGUAACGGCUUACCAAGGCAACGAUGCGUAGCCGACCUGAGAGGGUGAUCGGCCCCACUGGAACUGAGACCCGCUCCAGACUCCUACGGGAGGCAGCAGUAGGGAAUCUUCCGCAAUGGGCGAAAGCCUGACGGUGCAACGCCGCGUGAGUGAUGAAGGUCUUCGGAUCGUAAAACUCUGUUAUUUGGGAAGCACAUAUGUGUAAGUAACUGUGCACUUCUUGACGGUACCUAAUCAGAAAGCCACGGCUAACUACGUG